rnacentral:rRNA from 1 species
GAAGGUGUGUCGUGAGGCAUGCUGGAGGUAUCAGAAGUGCGAAUGCUGACAUAAGUAACGAUAAAGCGGGUGAAAAGCCCGCUCGCCGGAAGACCAAGGGUUCCUGUCCAACGUUAAUCGGGGCAGGGUGAGUCGACCCCUAAGGCGAGGCCGAAAGGCGUAGUCGAUGGGAAACGGGUUAAUAUUCCCGUACUUGGUGUUACUGCGAAGGGGGGACGGAGAAGGCUAUGUUGGCCGGGCGACGGUUGUCCCGGUUUAAGCGUGUAGGUGUGUGUUCCAGGUAAAUCCGGUUCACUUUAACACUGAGGCGUGACGACGAGGCACUACGGUGCUGAAGCAACAAAUGCCCUGCUUCCAGGAAAAGCCUCUAAGCAUCAGGUAACAUCAAAUCGUACCCCAAACCGACACAGGUGGUCAGGUAGAGAAUACCAAGGCGCUUGAGAGAACUCGGGUGAAGGAACUAGGCAAAAUGGUGCCGUAACUUCGGGAGAAGGCACGCUGACACGUAGGUGAAGUGAUUUACUCAUGGAGCUGAAGUCAGUCGAAGAUACCAGCUGGCUGCAACUGUUUAUUAAAAACACAGCACUGUGCAAACACGAAAGUGGACGUAUACGGUGUGACGCCUGCCCGGUGCCGGAAGGUUAAUUGAUGGGGUCAGCGCAAGCGAAGCUCCUGAUCGAAGCCCCGGUAAACGGCGGCCGUAACUAUAACGGUCCUAAGGUAGCGAAAUUCCUUGUCGGGUAAGUUCCGACCUGCACGAAUGGCGUAAUGAUGGCCAGGCUGUCUCCACCCGAGACUCAGUGAAAUUGAACUCGCUGUGAAGAUGCAGUGUACCCGCGGCAAGACGGAAAGACCCCGUGAACCUUUACUAUAGCUUGACACUGAACAUUGAGCCUUGAUGUGUAGGAUAGGUGGGAGGCUUUGAAGUGUGGACGCCAGUCUGCAUGGAGCCGACCUUGAAAUACCACCCUUUAAUGUUUGAUGUUCUAACGUGGACCCGUAAUCCGGGUUGCGGACAGUGUCUGGUGGGUAGUUUGACUGGGGCGGUCUCCUCCUAAAGAGUAACGGAGGAGCACGAAGGUUGGCUAAUCCUGGUCGGACAUCAGGAGGUUAGUGCAAUGGCAUAAGCCAGCUUGACUGCGAGCGUGACGGCGCGAGCAGGUGCGAAAGCAGGUCAUAGUGAUCCGGUGGUUCUGAAUGGAAGGGCCAUCGCUCAACGGAUAAAAGGUACUCCGGGGAUAACAGGCUGAUACCGCCCAAGAGUUCAUAUCGACGGCGGUGUUUGGCACCUCGAUGUCGGCUCAUCACAUCCUGGGGCUGAAGUAGGUCCCAAGGGUAUGGCUGUUCGCCAUUUAAAGUGGUACGCGAGCUGGGUUUAGAACGUCGUGAGACAGUUCGGUCCCUAUCUGCCGUGGGCGCUGGAGAACUGAGGGGGGCUGCUCCUAGUACGAGAGGACCGGAGUGGACGCAUCACUGGUGUUCGGGUUGUCAUGCCAAUGGCACUGCCCGGUAGCUAAAUGCGGAAGAGAUAAGUGCUGAAAGCAUCUAAGCACGAAACUUGCCCCGAGAUGAGUUCUCCCUGAGACUUAGAGUCUCCUGAAGGAACGUUGAAGACGACGACGUUGAUAGGCCGGGUGUGUAAGCGCAGCGAUGCGUUGAGCUAACCGGUACUAAUGAACCGUGAGGCUUAACCUUACA